rnacentral:rRNA from 1 species
ACAAAUGAAUCAAAACUUUCAACAACGGAUCUCUUGGCUCUGGCAUCGAUGAAGAACGCAGCGAAAUGCGAUAAGUAAUGUGAAUUGCAGAAUUCAGUGAAUCAUCGAAUCUUUGAACGCACAUUGCGCCCGCCAGCAUUCUGGCGGGCAUGCCUGUUCGAGCGUCAUUUCAACCCU